rnacentral:rRNA from 1 species
AACGAACGCUGGCGGCAUGCCUAACACAUGCAAGUCGAACGAGACCUUCGGGUCUAGUGGCGCACGGGUGCGUAACGCGUGGGAACCUGCCCUUAGGUUCGGAAUAACUCCCCGAAAGGGGUGCUAAUACCGGAUGAUGUCUUCGGACCAAAGAUUUAUCGCCUUUGGAUGGGCCCGCGUUGGAUUAGCUAGUUGGUAGGGUAAAAGCCUACCAAGGCCACGAUCCAUAGCUGGUCUGAGAGGAUGACCAGCCACACUGGGACUGAGACACGGCCCAGACUCCUACGGGAGGCAGCAGUGGGGAAUAUUGGACAAUGGGCGAAAGCCUGAUCCAGCAAUGCCGCGUGAGUGAUGAAGGCCUUAGGGUUGUAAAGCUCUUUUACCCGGGAUGAUAAUGACAGUACCGGGAGAAUAAGCUCCGGCUAACUCCGUG